UGCAUUUAUUUAAUAUAAACUGUCCCAGAAAUCAACUUCUUGUCAAUCCCAAUAUUCAAGCUGCAACAUUGUUCACAUAGAACUUCUUGGGACUGCUUUAUCUAAUGAUGUUUACAAUUAGAUUGGAGCCUAUCAUAUCUGUAACCUAAUUAGGCAACUCUGAGAUCAAGGUUUACGUUAAGGUUCUUUUUUUUUUUAAUUGUUUAAAAGGACUUCUUGUUUUCUUUUAUGUUAUGUUAUUUUUUUAAGCUUUAAAUCUUCUUUUGGCAGUUGUCAAAACAUUUUGAAAGAAGAAAAAAAAUGGACCUCAUUCACCAAUCGUAAGCAAACAACAUUUAGACACGUGAUAAUAUUGAUAAAACAACGAAAAAAACAACUGUCACGCCUGUGUGUAUUUCGUAAUUUGUAUAGAAGAGAUAGAGAAUCACGUGACUAAAUGUUUUGUUUUUUUUACGAUUGGUGAAUGAGGUCCAU